UAAUGUCUGGGAAACUGCCUGAUGAGGGGGAGUAACUACUGGAAACGGUAGCUAAUACCGCAUAAUGUCGCAAGACCAAAUGGGGGACCUUCGGGCCUCAUGCCAUCAGAUGUGCCCAGAUGGGAUUAGCUAGUAGGUGGGGUAAUGGCUCACCUAGGCGACGAUCCCUAGCUGGUCUGAGAGGAUGACCAGCCACACUGGAACUGAGACACGGUCCAG
rnacentral:rRNA from 1 species